UACAGAGGGUGCAAGCGUUAAUCGGAAUUACUGGGCGUAAAGCGCACGUAGGCGGUCUUUUAAGUCAGAUGUGAAAGCCCCGGGCUCAACCUGGGAAUUGCAUUUGAAACUGGAAAACUAGAGUGUGUGAGAGGGGGGUAGAAUUCCAAGUGUAGCGGUGAAAUGCGUAGAGAUUUGGAGGAAUACCAGUGGCGAAGGCGGCCCCCUGGCACAACACUGACGCUCAGGUGCGAAAGCGUGGGGAGCAAACAGG
rnacentral:rRNA from 1 species